UUAGCUAUAUAGCUAGCUAAUGAACAUUAAUAGUGACAGCUACGAUUGGCUCACAAGCUAUUGUUUACAGUGCCUUCGUGCGUGCCUCAACGUUAGCCAGCUAACUAAUGAAUGCAGCUUGUCAUAUUUAUCAAACGGCAGCCACGUUUUCCCACAAAUCAAACAGGCCACAUUAUAAAUAAUCAAGAUAAACAUGGACUGGCUAGCGUGCAUGCUACCUGUCCUUGUAUUUUAUACCCAGACUGCAGCCAGCUAACAUCCCUUGUAUUAACGUUAACUGCUUCCCACAGAACAGCCUCCCUCCCCACUACUCACUUACCUCCCCCGCGUUCGUGGUGGCCGUGCUGGCAGUGGACGCAGCGCUAGGGGUGGGAGAACGCUGCAGCGUUACCAAAGCCAUGGCUGGGGACGAGACUACCGGUGGGAACUCCCUUGCCGGGAAGAAGCUCUGUUCCUGGACAGGACCCGCUGAGGUCGUCCCGUCACGUUUAGCGAUGCUGGUUGUUCAGGACCACCCUAGCCAGCAAUUCCAAAUGUCUGAUUUCACCGUCCUGAUAAAUCCAUCCUCCACUUUUGGCAGUCAAAUAUCCGUUCGCCGGCCGUUUUGUAUGUUCCUAGCGAGAUGCAUGUGAUAAUGACAUCGGAGGAUGCGGUUUGUCAUUUGUCAGAUCAUUAAGGUUAAACAGACACACAAAACAUUUCCAACUGGAAACAACGGGGACGGGUGAGGGAUGCGCACAUCUCCAAUGAUGCUCCGUCUGAUUCUAUUUUGUUGAUUUGAAGGCUAGCGCGCUAGCUUUAGCUAGUUACAGUAUGUGUAUCAGAAUGUAGCUUUUUUCAGAACAGGGUCGCACUAGUCCAAAUCUGAUAGAUGUGACGCAGUUUCUUCUAACAAUGUCAGUUUGUGUUGCCUCUCGGUUCAAACCAGGUGUUCUCAAUACCAGACGUCCACAAGCCUCGAAAAACGUCGAAGAUGCGUCUCGCCGUGUUGGAACCAUCACGUUUGCCGCAUGACAUUAACACCGGACACGUCAUAUUUCUUUUAAGAGAUUUGUGUUUUGCUUUAUUUGUUAAAUUGCGUUUUACUUUAUUUCUGUAAAAAAUAAAUUGGUUUAUUUAACAUGGCAAACUGAA